rnacentral:rRNA from 1 species
UACGAAGGGGGCUAGCGUUGUUCGGAAUUACUGGGCGUAAAGCGCACGUAGGCGGAUAUUUAAGUCAGGGGUGAAAUCCCAGAGCUCAACUCUGGAACUGCCUUCGAUACUGGGUAUCUUGAGUAUGGAAGAGGUAAGUGGAAUUCCGAGUGUAGAGGUGAAAUUCGUAGAUAUUCGGAGGACACCAGCGGCGAAGGCGGCUUACUGGUCCAUUACUGGACGCUGAGGUGCGAAAGCGUGGGGAGCAAACAGG